rnacentral:rRNA from 1 species
GACGAACGCUGGCGGCGCGCCUAACACAUGCAAGUCGAACGGAGCUGCGAGAAGCUUGCUUUUCUUAGCUUAGUGGCGAACGGGUGAGUAACGCGUGAGUAACCUGCCCUGGAGUGGGGGACAACAGUUGGAAACGACUGCUAAUACCGCAUAAGCCCACGGCCCGGCAUCGGGCUGAGGGAAAAGGAUUUAUUCGCUUCAGGAUGGACUCGCGUCCAAUUAGCUAGUUGGUGAGGUAACGGCCCACCAAGGCGACGAUUGGUAGCCGGACUGAGAGGUUGACCGGCCACAUUGGGACUGAGACACGGCCCAGAAUCCUACGGGAGGCAGCAGUGGGGGAUAUUGCACAAUGGGGGAAACCCUGAUGCAGCGACGCCGCGUGGAGGAAGAAGGUUUUCGGAUUGUAAACUCCUGUCGUUAGGGACGAUAAUGACGGUACCUAACAAGAAAGCACCGGCUAACUACGUG